UGCAGGCAGCAGUGGGGAAUCUUGCACAAUGGGCGUAAGCCUGAUGCAGCGACGCCGCGUGAGCGAUGAAGGCCUUCGGGUUGUAAAGCUCUGUGGGGAGGGACGAAUAUGGCAUGGCUAAUAUCCAUGUCGAUGACGGUACCUCCUUAGCAAGCACCGGCUAACUCUGUGCCAGCAGCCGCGGUAAGACAGAGGGUGCAAACGUUGUUCGGAAUCACUGGGCGUAAAGCGCGUGUAGGCGGCUAUGUAAGUCGGACGUGAAAUCCCACGGCUCAACCGUGGAAGUGCGCUCGAAACUGUGUAGCUUGAGUCCUGGAGAGGAAGACGGAAUACUUGGUGUAGAGGUGAAAUUCGUAGAUAUCAGGUAGAACACCAGUGGCGAAGGCGGUCUUCUGGACAGUGACUGACGCUGAGACGCGAAAGCGUGGGGAGCAAACAGGAUUAGAUACCCCUGUAGUCC
rnacentral:rRNA from 1 species